UACGUAGGGACCAAGCGUUUGUUCGGAUUUACUGGGCGUAAAGGGCGCGUAGGCGGCUUGACAAGUCGCUUGUGAAAUCUCUGGGCUUAACCCAGAACGGCCAAGUGAAACUGUCGAGCUAGAGUGUAGAAGGGGCAAUCGGAAUUCUUGGUGUAGCGGUGAAAUGCGUAGAUAUCAAGAGGAACACCUGAGGUGAAGACGGGUUGCUGGUCUAACACUGACGCUGAGGCGCGAAAGCCAGGGGAGCAAACAGG
rnacentral:rRNA from 1 species